rnacentral:lncRNA from 1 species
GAAAUUGGAUAGACCUAUUACCACCUUCCCUAACUUCAAGACUUCAAGGAGAAGGAAGAAGGAGAUUUGAGACCCAGAGAAACAGAGGAAGAGGCCAUGAGAACAUGGAGGCAGAGACUGGAGGGCAAUCAUGAACUAAAAACCACCAAGGAUUGCAGAAGUCACCAGAGGCUGGGAAAGAGGCACAGCAUGGAUUCUUCCACAGAGCCUCCACAUGGAACCAGUACUGCCAAAACCUUGAUUUCAAAUAUCUGGCCUUAAAAACUGUGAAUAAAUAAUUUCCUAUUAAGUCACUCGGUUUGUGGCUAUUAGUCAUGGCAGCCCUAGAACACUAAUAUGCUGUCUAACAGAAAAUGUGUGGCUCCCUGUCCUAGACCAAUAUGUCGGAUACAUAAUUUGUGUGAUAUUUGAGCUCAAGAGAAGACCACCACCUUGGGAAGUAGCAGAGAGCCAUUCCCCCUUCCUAUAUUUCUGUCCCAUUCUCCCUUCCUAUAUUUCUGUCUCUGGUCAUACAAUUGGG